rnacentral:rRNA from 1 species
UACGAAGGGGACUAGCGUUGUUCGGAAUCACUGGGCGUAAAGCGCACGUAGGCGGAUGUGUCAGUCAGGGGUGAAAUCCCGGGGCUCAACCUCGGAACUGCCUUUGAUACAGCACGUCUCGAGUCCGGAAGAGGUGGGUGGAAUUCCUAGUGUAGAGGUGAAAUUCGUAGAUAUUAGGAAGAACACCGGUGGCGAAGGCGGCCCACUGGGCCGGUACUGACGCUGAGGUGCGAAAGCGUGGGGAGCAAACAGG